rnacentral:tRNA from 1 species
GGACUGGUAGCUCAGUUGGUUAGAGCGUCUCUCUUACACAGAGAAUGUCGGGGGUUCAAGUCCCUCAUCGUCCACAA